rnacentral:rRNA from 1 species
UACGAGUGCCCCAAGCGUUAUCCGGAAUUAUUGGGCGUAAAGGGUGCGUAGGUGGUGGUAUUAGUCUUAUGUUAAAGCCUCCGGCUCAACCGGAGAAUCGCAUAAGAAACGGUGCCACUAGAGGAUGUGAGAGGUCUGUAGAACUCAUGGAGUAGGGGUGAAAUCCGUUGAUAUCAUGGGGAAUACCAAAAGCGUAGGCAGCAGACUGGCACAUUUCUGACACUGAAGCACGAAAGCGUGGGUAGCGAAUGGG